rnacentral:misc_RNA from 1 species
ACACCUCAACUCUCAUGGCUUGCCAUGAUGAGCUUGGACUUUGGGGGUCUUGCUGGCCUGCAGUCAGCUCCUCUCAAAUGAAUUAGCUUCCCAGUGUUUGGCGGCAUCACAGGUGUGAUAACUAUCUACGCUUGUGGUUCCCACCAGGUAACCUUCAGUAGAAUGGGGGUUCGCUGGAGCUCAUAAAUGUCUCUCCUCAGCGAGGACAGCUCUUUGAAC